UACAAAGGAAUUGACGGGGCCCGCACAAGCGGCGGAGCAUGCGGAUUAAUUCGAUGCAACGCGAAGAACCUUACCAAGGCUUGACAUACACCGGUAACGCCCAGAGAUGGGUGCCCCUUUGUGGUCGGUGUACAGGUGGUGCAUGGUUGUCGUCAGCUCGUGUCGUGAGAUGUUGGGUUAAGUCCCGCAACGAGCGCAACCCUCGUCCUAUGUUGCCAGCGGGUCAUGCCGGGGACUCAUGGGAGACUGCCGGGGUCAACUCGGAGGAAGGUGGGGAUGACGUCAAGUCCUCAUGGCCUUUAUGACCAGGGCUACACACGUACUACAAUGGCCGGUACAAAGGGCAGCGACACAGCGAUGUGAAGCCAAUCCCGAAAAGCCGGUCUCAGUCCGGAUUGGAGUCUGCAACUCGACUCCAUGAAGUUGGAAUCGCUAGUAAUCGCGGAUCAGCACGCCGCGGUGAAUACGUUCCCGGGCCUU
rnacentral:rRNA from 1 species